AGUGGUCCUGAUUGAAAUACAAAUUAAAUCCUUGACAAACCACAAAAGUACUACAUCUGUAUUGUUUAAAAUAAAUAAAGCUCAAACUAACUACGACUAUUAGGCUAAUAUAUUAAAGAUAUUUCUUAUUUUCUGGUGCCAUUUAUGCAGUUUAAUUAGUUCCACAUAAUUAAAAAAAACGUUUGAAAAUAUUUUAAGAUGUUUCUCUUUUUUUUCACAGAGAUAAUGACCUCCUGACUGUGGGGCUUCUAGUUAUAGCUGCGCUUCUGCUAUUACUGAUUCUGAUCAGUGUUUUCAUCUGGAGACUGAGACGGAGACCCAAGCAGGAUGAACACCAAAUCAGAGAGAGAAAAAGCAGUACAACCACUGACACAGAUCCCGUUAAUGACAUAAUCUACUACAGCACUAUUGAUCAUGUUCCUGGGAGUGAAGCGAUGAAGUCUCCAGCAGGUGGAGCAAUAAACAGCAUUAUAUACAGCACUGUGGCUCCACACUGAUAGCAACAGCGAGAACAACACAAGAACAGACCAAGAGAAACACAAUCAACAGCAGCGGAAUGGCAUCACAACCUUUUUUUUUAAUAUAUAUUAUUGCCGUUUAAUUUGGUUACUGUAAAAAUCACUUUAAGUUUACUUGUACAGUGCUCUGUUGUUUGCAUUAAUACAAGCAAGGUCAGCGUACAUUUUGAUCAUUUCAUUUCCUAUUUUAGAAUUCAG